rnacentral:rRNA from 1 species
GACGAACGCUGGCGGCGUGCCUAAUACAUGCGAGUCGAGCGAAGUUUUUCUGGUGCUUGCACCGGAAAAACUUAGCGGCGAACGGGUGAGUAACACGUAAAGAACCUGCCUCAUAGACUGGGACAACUAUUGGAAACGAUAGCUAAUACCGGAUAACAGCAUUAACUGCAUGGUUGAUGUUUAAAAGUUGGUUUUGCUAACACUAUGAGAUGGCUUUGCGGUGCAUUAGCUAGUUGGUGGGGUAAAGGCCUACCAAGGCGACGAUGCAUAGCCGACCUGAGAGGGUGAUCGGCCACACUGGGACUGAGACACGGCCCAGACUCCUACGGGAGGCAGCAGUAGGGAAUCUUCCGCAAUGGGCGAAAGCCUGACGGAGCAACGCCGCGUGAGUGAAGAAGGAUUUCGGUUCGUAAAGCUCUGUUGUUAGGGAAGAAUGAUUGUGUAGUAACUAUACACAGUAGAGACGGUACCUAACCAGAAAGCCACGGCUAACUACGUG